GUGCAGCAGCCGCGGUAAUACCGGCAGCCCGAGUGAUGGCCGAUCUUAUUGGGCCUAAAGCGUCCGUAGCUGGCCGACCAAGUCUCCCGGGAAAUCCACCCGCCCAACGGGUGGGCGUCCGGUAGAAACUGGCCGGCUUGGAACCGGAAGGCUCAGAGAGUACGUCCGGGGUAGGAGUGAAAUCCCGUAAUCCCGGACGGACUACCGAUGGCGAAAGCACUCUGAGAAGACGGCUUCGACAGUGAGGGACGAAAGCUCGGGUCUCAAACCGGAUUAGAUACCCGUGUUCC
rnacentral:rRNA from 1 species